CAAUAGCGUAUAUUAAAGCUGUUGCGGUUAAAAAGCUCGUAGUUGGAUUUCUGUCAAGGACAACUGGUCCGCCCUCCGGGUGAGCACAUAGUUUGGUCUUGGCAUCUUGUUCAAAACUGUUACUGCGCUUGGUUGUGUGGUGCAGUUUUGGGCACUUUCACUUUGAGGAAAUUGGAGUGUUUCAAGCAGGCACAUGCCUUUGGACACAGUAGCAUGGAAUAAUUAGAUUGGGCUUUUGCUCCAACUUGUCGGUUCCUGGAGCUGAGGUGAGAAUCAAUGGGGAUUGUCGGGGGCAUCUGAAUUUAGCCGUCAGAGGUGAAAUUCUUGGAUCUGCUAAAGACGGACAACUGCGAAAGCGUUUGCCCAGGAUGUUUUCAUUGA
rnacentral:rRNA from 1 species